rnacentral:lncRNA from 1 species
UAAUCCAUGGACUCAGAACGAAUGAAUGGUCUACUGCCACCCUUGUCACAGGGGACCAAAGCAACCUUGGAGAAUCCACCUGCAACAUUCCUCAGAGAAGCUGCACCAUUACUUUAAAAGAAGUUACAGCAGUGCAUACUAUUGUUGCUUUCCUACAAUGUAGCAAACAGAAACUUUGGUUCCAGAAUGUUCCUCAAUGUAACACAGUAAAAUUUCUUGAUAGGAGUGCUUUACAAAAGAUGUCAUUGAAGAUACCCAGUUUGGAAGUUAAGGCAUUGGCUCUGACAUUAGUUUUGCCCCAUCUAAGCUUAGUUUGAUAGAGUCAUAUAUAGGGCAGGAUCUAGCUAAUAAUUGUCCUUAACUCAAAAGCCUAAUCUUAUUUCAGGUAGAAAGCCACACUAACUUAAUUGCCAACCAGAUAAAUGGUGAUCACUUGAAAUCUGUUUUAUACUUAUAAAUAAAUCUUGAAAUAUUAAUUAUCCGUGCUUAAAAG